rnacentral:rRNA from 1 species
GACAGAGGUGCCGAGCGUUAGGCGGAAUCACUGGGCUUAAAGCGUGUGUAGGCGGGUCGUUAAGUGUCUUGUGAAAUCCCACCGCUCACCGGUGGAACGGCUGGGCAUACUGGCGACCUUGAGAGGCCUAGGGGCAGACGGAACAAGCGGUGGAGCGGUGAAAUGCGUAGAUAUCGCUUGGAACGCCGACGGCGAAAGCAGUCUGCUGGGGGCCUUCUGACGCUGAGACACGAAAGCCAGAGGAGCGAACGGG